ensembl:lncRNA
GAAGGGGGCCUCCAAUCAGGCAGAGAGGAGGCUGGGAGGGAACCAGGUGGAUGCUGGGAGGGAACCAGGUGGAUGUUGGGAGGGAAUCAGGUGGAUGUUGGGAGGGAAUCAGCUGGGAGGGAACCAGGAGGAUGUUGGGAGGGAAUCAGGUGGGAGGGAACCAGGAGGAUGCUGGACGCCGGGUUGGAUUUUCUGCUCCUGAUUCAUUCAGCAGCUUGUUUUAUGAGUUAAAGUAACCAAAGUAGUAGUUCCAAAUAUUAAACAAUCCACCCAAACAAGAUAUUUAUUGUGUUUUGAAUAAUAUUACUGAAUAUUUUCUAAAUUCAACAUUACACAUUUA